GUCACGCCUGGGCGCAGCCUGAUCCAGCAAUGCCGCGUGAGUGAUGAAGGCCUUCGGGUUGUAAAGCUCUUUCGCACGCGACGAUGAUGACGGUAGCGUGAGAAGAAGCCCCGGCUAACUUCGUGCCAGCAGCCGCGGUAAUACGAAGGGGGCUAGCGUUGUUCGGAAUUACUGGGCGUAAAGGGCGCGUAGGCGGUACUUCAAGUCAGGCGUGAAAGCCCCGGGCUCAACCUGGGAACCGCGCUUGAGACUGGAGAACUAGAGUUCGGGAGAGGAUGGUGGAAUUCCCAGUGUAGAGGUGAAAUUCGUAGAUAUUGGGAAGAACACCGAUGGCGAAGGCAGCCAUCUGGACCGACACUGACGCUGAGGCGCGAAAGCGUGGGGAGCAAACAGGAUUAGAUACCCUGGUAGUCCACGCCGUAAACGAUGAGUGCUAGACGUUGGGGCCCUUAGGGCUUCGGUGUCGCAGCUAACGCAUUAAGCACUCCGCCUGGGGAGUACGGCCGCAAGGUUAAAACUCAAAUGAAUUUGACGGG
rnacentral:rRNA from 1 species